AUUGAACGCUGGCGGCAUGCCUUACACAUGCAAGUCGAACGAUCCCUUCGGGGAUAGUGGCGCACGGGUGCGUAUCGCGUGGGAAUCUGCCCUUGGGUUCGGAAUAACGUCGGGAAACUGACGCUAAUACCGGAUGAUGACGUAAGUCCAAAGAUUUAUCGCCCAGGGAUGAGCCCGCGUAGGAUUAGCUAGUUGGUGGGGUAAAGGCCUACCAAGGCGACGAUCCUUAGCUGGUCUGAGAGGAUGAUCAGCCACACUGGGACUGAGACACGGCCCAGACUCCUACGGGAGGCAGCAGUAGGGAAUAUUGGACAAUGGGGGCAACCCUGAUCCAGCAAUGCCGCGUGAGUGAUGAAGGCCUUAGGGUUGUAAAGCUCUUUUACCCGGGAUGAUAAUGACAGUACCGGGAGAAUAAGCCCCGGCUAACUCCGUGCCAGCCGCCGCAGUAAUAC
rnacentral:rRNA from 1 species